rnacentral:lncRNA from 1 species
GAGAACAUAAAUUGCAAUAAAAGAAUCAACAUAAAUUGAAGUUUAUUAAGAGGAAAAUGAAAAUUGCAAGAAAAAAUCCACCGUGGAAGCAAAGCCGAGAUGAUCACGGGCUGCAACUACCGUGAUUGCUCAAUCAAUAGUCCAAGAAUGAUGAAAAUCUAACCUAUGAAAAGCGAGUAAACCUAAACUAGAAAUGAAAGCAGCUGAAAGCGAGAAACCCUAAGCACGCAACAUCUAUCACCUACUGCUCUCGUGGAGUCUGGCACCUUCCACAUGCUCUUGAACUCUCGCAAUCUCAGUCUCGUGAGUUGAGUCUGUCACCCUCCACCCUUCACUAAGAAAUCUUUACAAGUUUCUUUAUAUAGAGAAAAAGAAAAGGAAAAAAAAAUGGGAAAGGGGAAGAAGAUCUCUUGACGUUUCGUGCUUCUUUGAUCAAAUGGUCUUCAUUCAUCAUCCUCUCCAAGCCCUACGAUUGUCUUCAAUCUUAUUGCCGCUUCAGCCUCCGCACAUGCACUUUGGGUCUCCGCUGGUUCACAAUCACGAAUUAUGGAGCUCCUUUGCCUCUUUCUUUCUUCCCUUUCUCACUCAAACACUAGAGGAUUUUCUUUCUCACUCCACUNUAACACAUUGAUGCUCUCUGGCAAAUGAAUCACUAACGCGCAUGAAGCCAAAGCAGGACAACCACCCAAAACGCACAACUUCAAUUAACUGCAGGCCUAAUGUCCAUGCCAGUGGCCCAAUUUGCAACAACCACGUAGUUUAAUUCCAAUCAACCCAGUGCAGCUUCAGCAGCC